AGAACGAACGCUGGCGGCAUGCCUAACACAUGCAAGUCGAACGAGACCUUCGGGUCUAGUGGCGCACGGGUGCGUAACGCGUGGGAAUCUGCCCUUGGGUUCGGAAUAACAGCGAGAAAUUGCUGCUAAUACCGGAUGAUGACGUAAGUCCAAAGAUUUAUCGCCCAAGGAUGAGCCCGCGUAGGAUUAGCUUGUUGGUGAGGUAAGAGCUCACCAAGGCGACGAUCCGUAACUGGUCUGAGAGGAUGAUCAGUCACACUGGAACUGAGACACGGUCCAGACUCCUACGGGAGGCAGCAGUGGGAAUAUUGGACAAUGGGCGAAAG
rnacentral:rRNA from 1 species